AUGUACUACACUUAGUCUUGUUAUCCGCAACGGCCCAGAUUGAUGUCGGGAAGAAAUUCAAUCUUCUUCAUGAAGGAUCCCUUCGAAACAGGUUCGGAUGAAAUCAUCGAACCGGGAACCGACAAUUCCAGGACCAAAUAAGA
rnacentral:lncRNA from 1 species